rnacentral:rRNA from 1 species
AGCAGUCGCCGCGGUAAUACGAAGGGUGCAAGCGUUAAUCGGAAUUACUGGGCGUAAAGCGUGCGUAGGCGGUUUGUUAAGUCUGCUGUGAAAUCCCCGGGCUCAACCUGGGAAUGGCAGUGGAUACUGGCUCGCUAGAGUGUGUCAGAGGAUGGUGGAAUUCCCGGUGUAGCGGUGAAAUGCGUAGAGAUCGGGAGGAACAUCAGUGGCGAAGGCGGCCAUCUGGGACAACACUGACGCUGAGGCACGAAAGCGUGGGGAGCAAACAGGAUUAGAUACCCCGGUAGUCCCUGUCUCUUAUAC